UACAGAUCAUGAGAUGGCCAUUGCCUACUGAAAUCUUAUUUUUACUGGUCGCUUCAAAUUUUUGGGACUUGUGAUGUGAAUUUUUAAGAUCUCAUUAUAAAAGAGCUGGUAAUACCCAAAGACACUUGGCAUUUUCUGCUGGAGUUUUCAAACAGGAUUGAUGACACCAUGAGCAAUUAUGAUGAAGAUGGUCAGUAUAUACUCUAACUAUGUACAUGUACAAAUUCCUCGGUUCUUCUUUGUGUCUGAUCCAGCACUACUGGAGAUACUGGGAAAUAUAUUGGGUAUCUAAAAAAUACCCAAGGCUAU